UUUUGAAGCAAGUUAUGCGUCUUUGAAGUUGGAGGUGAGAGAGUCAGAGACGGCAGAGAAAGAGACAGUCGUUUUCUCUGCCGUCUCUCACUCUCGUCUCCAACUUUAAAGGCGCAUAACUCCCUUCAAA
rnacentral:sRNA from 13 species